ensembl:lncRNA
UAUGGUACGGAGUUGCCAUAUGGCAACAAUUAAUUUAUACUCAUUUCCUUGUUAUUCUGAAAAAACUACGAUAUAUCACAUUAUGGGAAUUAAAAGGUUAGGCCUUAAGGUAGCCAAUGACGUGCUGUUUUUAAGUCACAUGACAACUGAAUGUCCUCCCAAAACUCCUUUUCCCACUGUCACCCUCACACAGAAGACACCUGUUGAAGUGCUCCAGAAAUUGCUCUAUUAACCUAAUUUCUAAACAUCUUUUCUCAAGGGGGAUUUUUUUGCAACAUCUUUGAAAAUGAAUAUAGCUAUAUUUUAUGGAAAGGGCAAUAGGAAGAGUGCAGAGUUGGCCUGUCAUGGAGAAUAAAGGGAAGUGCAAAUACCCUGGCUGCAGGGGGAUCGUCCGCAUGAAGUGCAGCAAAUGUGACUUGCACCUUUGCAUCACAGCUGAAAGGAACUGCUUUUUGCAGUUUCAUGGGAUGUCAUGAAUUGUGACUUGAGUUGGACUGAGACAUGUGCACAGUGAUGGACUAGGAAAACCCACACUGAGGGGCAGCUGUGGCCUAAAAGUCAGAGUGUUGGACUAGUUACCCAAAGGUCACCGGUUUGAGUCUCGGUGCUGGUAGGAGUUGCCGGUGGGUGGAGAGUGAAUGAACAGCGCUCUCUUCCACCCUCAAUACCCAUGGCUGAAGUGCCCUUGAGCAAGGCACUGAACCCCCAGUUGCUCCCCGUGCGCUGGAUAUAGCUGCCCACUGCUCUGGGUGUGUGUUCACGGUGUGUUCACUUCUCACUGCUGUGUGUGUGCACUUGGAUGGGUUAAAUGCAGAGCACCAAUUCCGAGUAUGGGUUACCACACUUGGCAAAUGUCACAACUUUCACUUUUCACUUUACUUCAGGGAGCCCCCUAUCGUAAUACCUGAAUUUUAUGUUUUCAUGUUCUACAUGGUAUUAGUGCAUGUUCCAUGCUACCAUACAUUUACUUAACUUGUAUAAAAUACUUUCAAAAAGACUUGUUUUUGGAAUCUUUGUGGAUGUAAAACAAUAAAAAGUUGAUGAAUUUGAUAU